ACUAAUAUCUAUGUUCAUUGGUUGUUGCACUUCACCCUCGCUGCCUUCACCUGUUCGAUUGUAAGUGGUGCUCUCGCCGAAAGGACAAACUUUACCGUGUACACGCUGUUUACGGUAUUGAUGUCAGGCUUCAUUUACCCCGUCGUUACUCAUUGGUGUUGGCACGAGGAAGGCUGGCUCAAGAAAGGCGACGAAGAAACUCUUGGAGAAGGUGUCUCUUUUCAGGAUUUUGCAGGCAGUGGUGUAAUUCAUGUCACUGCAGGAACCAUGGCUUUGGUAGGCUCAGCAGUAAUUGGAUCAAGAUCUGGAAGAUUUGAACGUGGUAAACCAGUUCCUAUUGGUGGACAUACUGUUCCGGUAAGAAUUUUUUUUAAUCAUCGUAUUCGUAAAUAUAUAUUUAGCCAUCUUGAAUCAUGUGCAUUAUGGC